AUUGUUAAUAGUUUAAUUAUUUACUGUGAUGCAAUCAAUUAAAAGAAAGUCUUACCUGAUAUAUCAGGUAUUAUUUCUAUUUGUGAUAUGUGCCGGAAUAUUGAAAUUCCAAAUACUUGGUGAAUGAGACAAAGAAGUUAUCUGUUGUCUUUUAGAUGUUUGAAAUGUAUUGGUGGUUGGGGCUUGAAUCUACUUUAGCCUAAAGAAAAAUAAAAGAUGUAUGGUUAAAGUUCCAUGGGUUUGGUAUCUGAAAAAGUGUGGUUAAAGACACCAUGUACAUUUUAUCUAGAACAGUCCUUGGGUCCAAUAUGCCUUUUUACUUGGGUGGAACACCAGUGUAUUAACAUGCACAUGUUCGAUAUACAGGUAAAUACUCCAUAUACAACAAAUAUGUUAUUUCUAAUCAGGUAUUCUCAGACAAAGAAUUGAGUGUUUUAAAAUGUACACUUUUGUAUGGUGGUUAGUUAAUUCAGGUUUUACAGCACACCAAAUCUCCCAUUGUAUUACAAUCAGGGAUACUUUAUUUCAUGGUUUAAAACUAAUUUUGCUUAUUACCAGCCUAUAAUUUAUAUAUAUAAAACAUUGGUAUGUUGUUUAGCUCCAUUGAUGAAUAACCUUUACAAAUCAAAGUCCUUGGAAUUUUGCAUACCAGAAGAAACAAUAUUCCACAGUAUUUGUUCACUUAGAAACAAAGGACAAGGUUCACUUAUGGCCCAAAAUGGCCUAAAAAGUCAACUUUAUCAUAAAACACCAAAAAGUUCACAAAUGAGUUCAUAAAUAGGUCUAGUUCAAAAGUCUUAACCCUUUCCGCCAUUGAAAUUUUUUUUUGCAUACUUGAUUCGCAUAGGAUUUUUUUAAUAAAAAGCUGAUCAUAUGAUUUAAAGUAUUAAGGCAUUGCGAAAAACAACUAUUUCAUCAAAUAAAUUUAAGUCGGAUAUUCCUAUGAUAUUCCUUUUCAUAUUGGAUACAAAUUUUAUUAAGUCAACUGCAGACACUUGGUAGUCAAAGUGUUUCAACUGAGGUACUACACAGGCGUCAAAAGGCGUCAUUAUGGAGUAAGGGGGUGGCGUCAAAAGGCGUCAUUAUGGAGGAAAGGGUUAAUGCUCAAUAAAUCAGUUCCUUCCAUAAAAGUACAUAAUACAUUCCAAAUUAGUCCCAUUUUGAACAUUUUGUCAAAUUUUGAUGAUUUUGGGCAAUUUUCAGGCCUAAAAGCUUUAAGAAAAAUUUGGUCGUCACCUAGGAUCCAAAAUGUUUUGUAAAAGAUUCCCAAUGUGAUAUAGAAUUCAUCAAUAUAAAAACUUUUUGGAUCGUGGAUGGCGGCCAAUGUUAAUUUGGUAGAAGAUUUUCCAGUUCCAGUAGAAAUAAGAGGGACAUUUAAUUUUCAUCAGUAUUAAUGUUAAGAUUGUACUAGUUGUCAGAUGAGUUCUACAUGCACAUAGAUAGAGUUGGUUAGUAAACCUAUAUGUAUAUUUCUUUCUAGGUAUGUUAAAUAAAAAGGGUUUCUUUAACUACUCUUGUGCUUUUGUUGAAAUUAUGUUGAAAACAUCUGUUAUAUAGUUG
rnacentral:lncRNA from 1 species